GGCGAACGCUGGCGGCGUGCCUAAUACAUGCAAGUAGAACGCUGAAGGAAGGAGCUUGCUCUUUCCGGAUGAGUUGCGAACGGGUGAGUAACGCGUAGGUAACCUGCCUGGUAGCGGGGGAUAACUAUUGGAAACGAUAGCUAAUACCGCAUAACAGUAGAUAUCGCAUGAUAGCUGCUUGAAAGGUGCAAAUGCACCACUACCAGAUGGACCUGCGUUGUAUUAGCUAGUUGGUGAGGUAACGGCUCACCAAGGCAACGAUACAUAGCCGACCGGAGAGGGUGAUCGGCCACGCUGGGACUGAGACACGGCCCAGACUCCUACGGGAGGCAGCAGUAGGGAAUCUUCGGCAAUGGACGGAAGUCUGACCGAGCAACGCCGCGUGAGUGAAGAAGGUUUUCGGAUCGUAAAGCUCUGUUGUAAGAGAAGAACGAGUGUGAGAGUGGAAAGUUCACACUGUGACGGUAUCUUACCAGAAAGGGACGGCUAACUACGUGCCAGCCGCCGCCGUAA
rnacentral:rRNA from 1 species